CGGGCCGGGGAGGGGGCGUGGGAGCUGGGCCCUGGCUUUAGCAUCCAGGUGACCUCGAGGCCGGGCCAGACUCUGGAGGACACUUGGGACAGGGGGAGGGGUUUGGCUCCGGGGCCCUGGGAUCCUGGCCAGGGGCGGAAGUUCUGCACUGGCCCGCGGGCUGUGCCCAAGCCAGCCCGCUGCCAACACUCCUCCUCCUCCUCCUCCUCCUCGGCGACCCCCGGGCCCACAGCUUCUUUUGCCGCCGCGCGGGCUUUCGGAUUGCCGGCCUCUAGGCGUGCUGGGCUCGCGCCUGCGCCCGGGAGGCAGCCUCUGGGCACCACGCGACGAAAUCGGGAUGCGGCGCCCUCGCCGCGGGCCUGACCCCGAUGGUCCCCGGGGACCGCGCUCCGCCGCCGCUGCGGGGCGUGCGGGCGCCACAGAGCAGCCCAAUGGAAACCCCGCGAGGCUCGGGACUGAGGCAGGAGGGGCAGGGAGACGGGCAACAAAUCUGGGGCUAGCGAAGGAUUGUCACUUGGCAGGUCGCGAGCGGCUUGGGGGAGCCGCCUCUCUGCGAGGCUCCGCGAGAGGGAAGGUUCCCCGAAUCCGAAUCCUGCGUAAAUGGAGUGGGUGACGCCGGUCACCCAAGCCCCAGGCUGCUCCGGGCUGAUGGUUUUCGUCUGCCGGUUUCCCUGGGGUUAGGGCCGGGUUCUGAGAGCUUCCCCCCAGGAAGCGGUAGCUCCCUCUGCUCUCCUGCUCUAAUAAAGACGGCAAAUACCCGAUUUCAUUUAGUUCUGAUAACUUUUCAAUAACUUCUUAAAAUCCUUGUCGUGAAGAAAUUCUACCGUAGGAAGGUUUUAUCAUUUUGAAAGACUGGCGGCUGCAUAGUUUUCGAAAGGAAUUUGUGGCCCCUCUGGGGUGGUGUAAACUUAUUCAGCUCCAAAUACAGACCAGUAUCCUGCCCUGCAUUCAAGAGGACCAUUUUUCCACAUGAAAAGUCUUAUGAAUACAAAAACUUCUCAAGUUUUCAUUGCAAAGAAGUAGCAGCAGUGUUUAAGAGUUCGCUCCAAAUGCUCGUCUUCUUCUUCGGCCCUGGAAGUCAAACAGGAAACCAAAUUAUUUUUCUUCUUGGAGCGCAGAGCGGCACUCUCCUCUCGCCCCGCAUUCCGAGCCCCAGAGGGAACGGGGUUCGCGGGGCCAGCGGGAGGCUGCCCCGGCCCACCCGGGACCUCUGGACUGAACUUUCCGAAAACUUCUCGGCCCCUCAGCAGGCGGCAGAGCCUCGACCCCGACCCCACCGCCCACUUACUGCUUCUCCUGCGCGUCCAGGUCCCUGACGAGCGCGUCGCGCUUGUCCACUAGGGCCACCAGCUCAUCCAGCAGGAGCUGCUCGCGUCGCUUCUGGGCCUCGGUCUUCUGCCAGUCUGCAGGGGACGGGAGGCUCCUUACCCACCCGGUCUCCCACCCCACCCGGCCCUCCCCUUCCCGCCUUUUCCAGUUCCCUUUUAUUUCUCUGCAAACCAUAUUACAGAGCCACUAGCUAGUGUUUCACGGAGAGUUUGGCCGUCGUGAUGAGGAUUUCGCCCCUAAAACCCUACUUUCUAAGUAUUUUCCGUAGAUGGAGACGGCUACGGGCUGGGCUGGAACCUGCAAGAGACCAGGUGUGCGCCGGUGGCCAGCGGAGGUGCGCACCUGAUGUCAGCCAAAGUGGGGGAGGGAGAGCUGGAGGCCCAGAAGAGGUCGGCCCGAGCGGUGAGGGGGGAAUGUGGGUGAAUGAGGAGGCGGGAAGCAGAGAUGGGCGAUAAAAUCACCCUGAAAAGGCUAGAGAAUCUGCCUGAGAACCUAUCCUCCUCCCCCACCCCCAUGCUCACCCCAUACAGCCCAUUCUUCGCUAAUUUCCUCUUCGCUCUAUUUUAGCAGUUGGAUGUAUCUCACACUGGGCGCCAUAUGCUUCACAAUAACUUUAAAAGUAGUGAAUCGGCUAAUUAGCAUUUUUCUUUGAAGUAAAAAAUAAAUUUGCUCUGCAACAUUACACUG